AGUGAACGCUGGCGGUAGGCCUAACACAUGCAAGUCGAACGGCAGCACAGUAAGGGCUUGCUCUUACGGGUGGCGAGUGGCGGACGGGUGAGGAAUACAUCGGAAUCUACUUUUUCGUGGGGGAUAACGUAGGGAAACUUACGCUAAUACCGCAUACGACCUACGGGUGAAAGCAGGGGAUCUUCGGACCUUGCGCGAUUGAAUGAGCCGAUGUCGGAUUAGCUGGUUGGCGGGGUAAAGGCCCACCAAGGCGACGAUCCGGAGCUGGUCUGAGAGGAUGAUCAGCCAGACUGGGACUGAGACACGGUCCAGACUCCUACGGGAGGCAGCAGUGGGGAAUAUUGGACAAUGGGCGCAAGACUGAUCCAGCCAUACCGCGUGGGUGAAGAAGGCAUUCGGGUUGUAAAGUCCUUUUGUUGGGAAAGAAAAGCAGCAGGUUAAUACCCCGCUGUUCUGACGGUACCCAAAGAAUAAGCACCGGCUAACUUCGUG
rnacentral:rRNA from 1 species